rnacentral:tmRNA from 1 species
AAAUUAAACAACAAGGCUAAGUAUGUAGAACUGUCUGUGGAGGGCUUGCGGACGCGGGUUCGAUUCCCGCCUGCUCCACCA